GGGCCCGCACAAGCAGCGGAGCAUGUGGUUUAAUUCGAAGCAACGCGAAGAACCUUACCAGGUCUUGACAUCCAGGUAAAGCUGCAGAGAUGCAGUGUGUGCUUGCACAAUCUGAGACAGGUGGUGCAUGGUUGUCGUCAGCUCGUGUCGUGAGAUGUUGGGUUAAGUCCCGCAACGAGCGCAACCCUUGCCGGCAGUUACUAACAGGUGAAGCUGAGGACUCUGCUGGGACCGCCGGGGACAACUCGGAGGAAGGUGGGGACGACGUCAAAUCAUCAUGCCCCUUAUGACCUGGGCUACACACGUGCUACAAUGGCCGAGACAGAGAGCAGCGAGGGCGCAAGCCGGAGCGAAUCUCAAAAAAGCGGUCACAGUUCGGAUUGUGGGCUGCAACCCGCCCACAUGAAGCAGGAGUUGCUAGUAAUCGCGAAUCAGCAUGUCGCGGUGAAUACGUUCCCGGGCCUU
rnacentral:rRNA from 1 species